UCAGAUCAUGUCGAGCAUCGACAUGCUGCUUCGAAUGCAGCAGACCAGCAUCGCGGACGUGUUCGAGGCACAGCGUCUAAUC
rnacentral:tRNA from 1 species